rnacentral:lncRNA from 1 species
ACCGUCGGGUAUCAUUGCUAGAUGGUCACUUCGAUUGGUAUAAAAAUUUAUUUUUAUACUAUCUACUUAGGUUCGGAUCUAUGAGAUCACAUACAUUAGAGUUCACGAUCUGAUCGGAUGGUUGAUCAACGAUUAAGAAUCGUUCUAGGGUUAAACGAUCAAUAUGAUUGACAUUUAACCUAGUGCAAGUGUUGCAGGAGGAUCGAUUAGUAAUU